rnacentral:rRNA from 1 species
GUGGAUAACCUGCCUCAAGGCUGGGGAUAACAUUUGGAAACAGAUGCUAAUACCGAAUAAAACUUAGUAUCGCAUGAUAUCAAGUUAAAAGGCGCUACGGCGUCACCUAGAGAUGGAUCCGCGGUGCAUUAGUUAGUUGGUGGGGUAAAGGCUUACCAAGACGAUGAUGCAUAGCCGAGUUGAGAGACUGAUCGGCCACAUUGGGACUGAGACACGGCCCAAACUCCUACGGGAGGCUGCAGUAGGGAAUCUUCCACAAUGGGCGCAAGCCUGAUGGAGCAACGCCGCGUGUGUGAUGAAGGCUUUCGGGUCGUAAAGCACUGUUGUAUGGGAAGAAAUGCUAAAAUAGGGAAUGAUUUUAGUUUGACGGUACCAUACCAGAAAGGGACGGCUAAAUACGUGCCAGCAGCCGCGGUAAUACGUAUGUCCCGAGCGUUAUCCGGAUUUAUUGGGCGUAAAGCGAGCGCAGACGGUUGAUUAAGUCUGAUGUGAAAGCCCGGAGCUCAACUCCGGAAUGGCAUUGGAAACUGGUUAACUUGAGUGUUGUAGAGGUAAGUGGAACUCCAUGUGUAGCGGUGGAAUGCGUAGAUAUAUGGAAGAACACCAGUGGCGAAGGCGGCUUACUGGACAACAACUGACGUUGAGGCUCGAAAGUGUGGGUAGCAAACAGGAUUAGAUACCCUGGUAGUCCACACCGUAAACGAUGAAUACUAGGUGUUAGGAGGUUUCCGCCUCUUAGUGCCGAAGCUAACGCAUUAAGUAUUCCGCCUGGGGAGUACGACCGCAAGGUUGAAACUCAAAGGAAUUGACGGGGACCCGCACAAGCGGUGGAGCAUGUGGUUUAAUUCGAAGCAACGCGAAGAACCUUACCAGGUCUUGACAUCCUUUGAAGCUUUUAGAGAUAGAAGUGUUCUCUUCGGAGACAAAGUGACAGGUGGUGCAUGGUCGUCGUCAGCUCGUGUCCUGAAAUGUUGGGUUAAGUCCCGCAACGAGCGCAACCCUUAUUGUUAGUUGCCAGCAUUCAGUUGGGCACUCUAGCGAGACUGCCGGUGACAAACCGGAGGAAGGCGGGGACGACGUCAGAUCAUCAUGCCCCUUAUGACCUGGGCUACACACGUGCUACAAUGGCGUAUACAACGAGUUGCCAACCUGCGAAGGUGAGCUAAUCUCUUAAAGUACGUCUCAGUUCGGACUGCAGUCUGCAACUCGACUGCACGAAGUCGGAAUCGCUAGUAAUCGCGGAUCAGCACGCCGCGGUGAAUACGUUCCCGGGUCUUGUACACACCGCCCGUCACACCAUGGGAGUUUGUAAUGCCCAAAGC